AACGAACGCUGGUGGCGUGCCUAAUACAUGCAAGUCGAACGCGAAAGUCAGCAAUGAUGAGUAAAGUGGCGCACGGGUGAGUAACACGUAGGUGACCUGGCCUUUUGUUGGGGAUAACAGUCGGAAACGUCUGCUAAUACCGAAUAAGUUGUGUGAGAUUAGAAGACUCACAAGAAAGUUGGCCUCUAUUUAUAAGCCAACGCAAAAGGAUGGGCCUGCGGAACAUUAGCUAGUUGGUGGGGUAAUGGCCUACCAAGGCGACGAUGUUUAACUGGUCUGAGAGGAUGAUCAGUCACACUGGAACUGAGACACGGUCCAGACUCCUACGGGAGGCAGCAGUAGGGAAUAUUGCGCAAUGGGGAAACCCUGACGCAGCAACGCCACGUGAGUGAGGAAGGCCUUCGGGUUGUAAAGCUCUGUCAUUAGGGAAAAACGGCGGUGAGGAUAAUAGUCUCAUCGAUUGAUGGUACCUAAGGAGGAAGCACCGGCUAACUUCGUGCCAGCAGCCGCCGUAA
rnacentral:rRNA from 1 species